UCUAAUAUGGCAGAUUAGUGCAAUGAACUUAAGAUUCAUUAAUGAAGAUCUUCUUCUUUUAGAU
rnacentral:tRNA from 1 species